rnacentral:rRNA from 1 species
UCCUACGGGAGGCAGCAGUGAGGAAUAUUGGUCAAUGGCCGAGAGGCUGAACCAGCCAAGUCGCGUGAGGGAAGAAUGUCCUAUGGAUUGUAAACCUCUUUUGUCAGGGAGCAAAGUCACCCACGUGUGGGUGUUGGAGAGUACCUGAAGAAAAAGCAUCGGCUAACUCCGUGCCAGCGGCCGCGGUAAUACGGAGGAUGCGAGCGUUAUCCGGAUUUAUUGGGUUUAAAGGGUGCGUAGGCGGAUUUUUAAGUCAGCGGUAAAAUGUCCGGGCUCAACCCGGGCCGGCCGUUGACACUGGGGAU